rnacentral:rRNA from 1 species
CCGAAUUCGUCGACAACAGAGUUUGAUCCUGGCUCAGGAUGAACGCUGGCGGCGUGCCUAAUACAUGCAAGUUGAGCGAAUGGAUUAAGAGCUUGCUCUUAUGAAGUUAGCGGCGGACGGGUGAGUAACACGUGGGUAACCUGCCCAUAAGACUGGGAUAACUCCGGGAAACCGGGGCUAAUACCGGAUAACAUUUUGAACUGCAUGGUUCGAAAUUGAAAGGUGGCUUCGGCUGUCACUUAUGGAUGGACCCGCGUCGCAUUAGCUAGUUGGUGAGGUAACGGCUCACCAAGGCAACGAUGCGUAGCCGACCUGAGAGGGUGAUCGGCCACACUGGGACUGAGACACGGCCCAGACUCCUACGGGAGGCAGCAGUAGGGAAUCUUCCGCAAUGGACGAAAGUCUGACGGAGCAACGCCGCGUGAGUGAUGAAGGCUUUCGGGUCGUAAAACUCUGUUGUUAGGGAAGAACAAGUGCUAGUUGAAUAAGCUGGCACCUUGACGGUACCUAACCAGAAAGCCACGGCUAACUACGUGCCAGCAGCCGCGGUAAUACGUAGGUGGCAAGCGG